GUCCUAGCCGUAAACGUUGGGUGCUAGGUGUGGGCGGACAUCGACCCCGUCCGUGCCGAAGCUAACGCAUUAAGCACCCCGCCUGGGGAGUACGGCCGCAAGGCUAAAACUCAAAGGAAUUGACGGGGCCCCGCACAAGCGGCGGAGCAUGUUGCUUAAUUCGAUGCGACGCGAAGAACCUUACCUGGGCUUGACAUGCAGGGUGAAACCCGUGAAAGCGGGCGCUCUUCGGAGCCUGCACAGGUGGUGCAUGGCUGUCGU
rnacentral:rRNA from 1 species